rnacentral:piRNA from 1 species
UGGUAAAAUGGUACUGGCUUACGUCAUC